AAUAAAAGACACUUCCAGAGACUUUAAUACAUUGCUUGUAAUUAUUGUUCAUAUGUAAUCCCAUCUGUAAGAAUAUUAGAAUCAUCAAAUUCUAAUCCCUCCAAUACUUUGAAGUAGUUUUUUAGAGUUUCCGCAGAGUAGCCAACAUCUGAAAAGUCAAAUGUACCACAAAUUAUUUCUCAUUCUAUAUAGCGUGUGGCCUAAUAAUGAUGAACAAUCAUUGUGUUUACUUUUGGAAAAAAAAAAAGCAUGGAAAGAAUUAAUUGGAGUAGCAACACUCAGCUUUAAUCAUUUUGUACAAAAAAAUAGCAUCACUAAAAAGGAAAACAAAACACAAACUUAGAACUUGAGGCAGAAAAACUGACAUAAAAUUUCACAACCGUAAUAAAGCAGGUUAGAUGAACUACAAGAGUCGUGGCUCAGUCCCUGCUCUUCCUCAUCAGAUGCUUCUGGUUGAGGUAAUCACUAUUAUCAGACACACCUGUGAGAUAUAUUCAGUCUGUGUCAGAUCGUCUUAAGUAUCUUCUCAGUUGAAAGUUGUUGCCCUAUAUUGUGAGUUCCUGGUCUAUUUUGGAAUAGGGGUUGUAUUAUUUCCUCUAUGGAUGGAUCAUUGUUGUGACCUCCACUUCAUCUGUUGGACCUGGAUUUGGAUGCUGAUUCUGCCUAAAGCUUCACCUGCAUGUCACCAAUCUCUCGCUCUGACAUCAACCCCAUUGGAUCCAGCUGCCGGUGUUCCCCCAGUUUCUAUGAGACUGGGUGAACACACAGGACUGAACUGUUGGUCUCUGGAGGACAAAGGAUGCAGAGAAGCUCCGGUCAGAGCAGCUGCUCCUAGAAAGGUCGGUUGUGACGUCGAUGCCUCCCGGAAACGUGUAUCUCCUGCGAGAAAUGGGAUUAACCUGCAGACAGGUGGAACCGGAAGUCCACCACUGCGGUCACUCACCUGCAUCAAAACCUAGAAGCGAACCUGGGACAAAAGGCUGUGGAGGAGAGUAGAAAUACCAAAAUAAGUAAAAGCACAAAACAGAAGAAAAAAGAAGGUAUGUGUUGCAUCUCCACUAGGUGGUAUAAUGGAGCCCUGGUGACUAAUGCUCCUUUCUACUUUACAAAAAAAGAUCCUCAGACUCCAAAGCAAAAUGGAUAUAUAUGAGAAAACAAUUAAAACUUUAAUUUUUAUA